AAUCAACGCUGGCGGCGUGCCUAACACAUGCAAGUCGAACGCGAAAGCCCCUUCGGGGGUAAGUAGAGUGGCGUCCGGGUGAGUAACACGUAGGUAAUCUACCUUCGGGUGGGGAAUAACCAGUCGAAAGAUUGGCUAAUACCGCAUAAUGCAGCGGCACCUAAUGGUGAUUAGUUGUUAAAGCGGGGGAUCGUAAGACCUCGCGCCUGAAGAGGAGCCUGCGGCAGAUUAGCUAGNGGUGAGGUAAUGGCUCACCAAGGCUUCGAUCUGUAGCUGGUCUGAGAGGACGGCCAGGCCACACUGGCACUGACACACGGGGCCAGACUCCUACGGGAGGCAGCAGUGGGGAAUUUUGGGCAAUGGGCGAAAGCCUGACCCAGCAACGCCGCGUGAGGGAGGAAAUCCUUCGGGAUGUAAACCUCACAAGCAAGGGAAGAGAGCUCAGGGCCGAAUAAGCUUUGAGUCCGACGGUACC
rnacentral:rRNA from 1 species